CAAAACAGAUCUUUUAGUAAAGUAUUUCAUUUACACUGAGAAUUUUUACUGUGCAAUUCAGUAUGUUUUGA
rnacentral:tRNA from 1 species